GUAAAGCUCCGCUAAGAGGGAGAGUGCCGAAGAAGGGGACAGUCUCUGUACCUGUGGCGCGGCCCGAGGGACGGACGCGACUGGAGUGGCGCGCUGGAGGCUGUUUACAGCCCUGUUAGGACCGCGCAGGGAGUGAAGGCGGAAGCCUUAGUCGGACUAUGGGGAAGAGGAGCUGUUCAUCUUCCAGCGAAACCAAACCGCCCUGAUUCCAGACCUGUCAGAGGAGCUGGCUGAAGAUCCUGCCGAUGGCGACAAGUCCAGGACCUGGGCCGCUGCAGCUGAAGAAUCCCUUCCCGAGCCAGUUCUGGUGCCUGCAGAAUUGGCCACAGAACCUGGGAACAGACGGAACACAAGGACAAAGGAUGCAUCCUCUCAGGAAGGAAGAGACCCUGGCAGGCCUGUUGAAAGCUCUGGUGAGGUCAGCGCUCUUCUUGGGAUGGCCGAGGAGACCCCUAGGUGGCUGGACAGCG